ACGCACGCUGGCGGCGUGCUUAACACAUGCAAGUCGCACGCUGAAGCUUGGUGCUUGCACUGGGUGGAUGAGUGGCGAACGGGUGAGUAAUACGUGAGUAACCUGCCCUUGACUCUGGGAUAAGCCUGGGAAACUGGGUCUAAUACUGGAUACGACAUGUCACCGCAUGGUGGUGUGUGGAAAGGGUUUUACUGGUUUUGGAUGGGCUCACGGCCUAUCAGCUUGUUGGUGGGGUAAUGGCUCACCAAGGCGACGACGGGUAGCCGGCCUGAGAGGGUGACCGGCCACACUGGGACUGAGACACGGCCCAGACUCCUACGGGAGGCAGCAGUGGGGAAUAUUGCACAAUGGGCGGAAGCCUGAUGCAGCGACGCCGCGUGAGGGAUGACGGCCUUCGGGUUGUAAACCUCUUUCAGCACGGAAGAAGCGAAAGUGACGGUACGUGCAGAAGAAGCGCCGGCUAACUACGUG
rnacentral:rRNA from 1 species